rnacentral:tRNA from 1 species
GGCAGCGAGGCCUAGUGGAUAGAGCACGGGCUGGCAGUCAGUCAGAAGGACCUGGGUUCUAAUCCCAGCUCUGCCA